rnacentral:lncRNA from 1 species
UCCACAGUCUCUACAAGUGGCACCCUAUCCCCAUCCCACUAGACAGCCUGUACUCUUGAUUCACCAGCGGAGUUAGAAUACUUGGAUCUGAAUGUCCAGGUUGUAAGACCACAGGUGAGUCAUGUGAUAUUUUAAGCCUCAGUUUCUUCCUCUGUAAAAUAAUACAAAUAGAACCUGCCUCUUAAGGUAAAGUGCUUUUGCAAGUGCCUGGCACAUUAAACACAUGCGACAAAGAGCUGGCAGUAUUAUUCACCCGUGGCACACUCAGGGAUGCUGGGGCCUGCUUGCGGGCAGUCUUGGAGACAGUUCCUAUAGAAAUAUUUCUAGGAACUCUUGGAAAUAAUUUGUUAAAGUUUUUUGUUUGGAAACUUGAGGCGUUUUUGGAGUCUCCAAAAUGAAAGGUUGUGUUGAAUAGCAGCAGCUAGUGCAAACCUGAAGCUGAAACUGGGUGAGUUUUCAUGAGUUCAAGUGGACAACUUCCUUUCUUUUCUGUUAGCUUUAUUAUUGCCAUCCUAUAGAAAGGAGUGAACCUGGACAUUGACUUCUCGAAUGUGAUUUAACCAGGUUACCCUUGUGACCUGGACUGGGUUUUCUAUGCAGAAUUCCAUAUCUCUGCUGCUGUGGGUGUUGGAGCCAGAAGGAAUAGGGCAUGUCCCUGCAAACCCCAUUGGCUGCUUUCUUGUGCCACUCAAGUUUAAAAAGGCACAUUACCUGUGUCCCUUUGGGGCCUGGGAAGAGGGUUCCUGGAAAUGACGGUGAAAACGGAAUCCGCACUUGUUCCAGGUUUUAUCAUGAAUUACAAUGUGCUUCAAAUAUCAGCCUAACCAACCCAGCUUCCCAGCUAAUUCCAAAGGGAUUAACUCUUUCAGUUCAAGGGGGCUCAAACUCUGAGCUAGCAGAAGUGUGUAUUCAUUCUAAAAUUGGAACAGAACAGGAUAAAACAGACUCUGAGUUUUCCUUAGAGCUUGACUCUUUGCUGUUUCAAAAUCUCUGCUUCUGA